GUGGGGAAUAUUGGACAAUGGGCGCAAGCCUGAUCCAGCAAUACCGCGUGUGUGAAGAAGGCCUUAGGGUUGUAAAGCACUUUCAAUAGGGAGGAAUACCUGUUGGCUAAUACCCGACAGAAUGACAUUACCUAUAGAAGAAGCACCGGCUAACUCCGUGCCAGCAGCCGCGGUAAUACGGAGGGUGCAAGCGUUAAUCGGAAUUACUGGGCGUAAAGCGUGCGUAGGCGGCUUAAUAAGCCAGAUGUGAAAGCCCUGGGCUUAACCUGGGAACUGCAUUUGGAACUGUCAAGCUAGAGUUGAGUAGAGGUAAGUGGAAUUUCAGGUGUAGCGGUGAAAUGCGUAGAGAUCUGAAGGAACACCAGUGGCGAAGGCGACUUACUGGACUCAAACUGACGCUGAGGUACGAAAGCGUGGGUAGCAAACAGGAUUAGAUACCCGAGUAGUCC
rnacentral:rRNA from 1 species